UGUGACGUUACCAAACUGUUGCCUCGGCGGGGUCACGCCCCGGGUGCGUCGCAGCCCCGGAACCAGGCGCCCGCCGGAGGAACCAACCAAACUCUUUCUGUAGUCCCCUCGCGGACGUAUUUCUUACAGCUCUGAGCAAAAAUUCAAAAUGAAUCAAAACUUUCAACAACGGAUCUCUUGGUUCUGGCAUCGAUGAAGAACGCAGCGAAAUGCGAUAAGUAAUGUGAAUUGCAGAAUUCAGUGAAUCAUCGAAUCUUUGAACGCACAUUGCGCCCGCCAGUAUUCUGGCGGGCAUGCCUGUCCGAGCGUCAUUUCAACCCUCGAACCCCUCCGGGGGAUCGGCGUUGGGGAUCGGGACCCCUCACACGGGUGCCGGCCCCUAAAUACAGUGGCGGUCUCGCCGCAGCCUCUCCUGCGCAGUAGUUUGCACAACUCGCACCGGGAGCGCGGCGCGUCCACGUCCGUAAAACACCCAACUUUCUGAAAUGUUGACCUCGGAUCAGGUAGGAAUACCCGCUGAACUUAAGCAUA
rnacentral:rRNA from 1 species